AUGAAGUCUCCAGGUUCCAGGAGCCUUCUUAAGGAUGAUGUUGACAUUAUCAGAGAAGGGAGUUUUCAAAUGAAGCCUGAUGUUAUUGAAGAGCCAGGAAUAAACCAGUCCUCACUGGCAUUGGAUGUGCAGCCUGAAGUGCCACCCUGGACAGUGUCACACCCACCCUCUGGCCUGAGACAAGCACAGUGGCCUGCCUGGGAGCCUGGCAAGGUUUCACCAGAACUGACUUCCCCUCUUGAUCCAGACUGUACAAUUUUUCCACCUUGGGGAAAUGAGGAGCCUGUUGGAGACAUCCAGGAGCCCCUGACACAUGGGACCUUACCAAGUGAACCACAACUCCCAGAUUUCCUUUUCAGUAAGAAUUUACAGAUUGAUACUGGCACCUCACAGUGCUUUAGCUGAAAAAUCUCUGAGGAUUCUUGAAGCACAAUGAAUUGGGCCAUCACAGACAGUUACUCUGCCAAUUAUAUUCUCCUGAAGGAGCCUUGAGAUAUUUAGUUUUAUAAAGAAAAAUCAGCUUCUAGUGUGGGGGCAGAAAGGCUGUAAGCUAAGCUUCUAAAUAAUUCCUAUGUUUUUAUUUACCUGCUUUGAGUUUUCUUCCAUAUUCAGCUGUCCUCUGACCCUCUCCCACCUCUCAAUAAAUGUCACCUCUCUGUAACUGACA
rnacentral:lncRNA from 1 species